rnacentral:rRNA from 1 species
GAUGAACGCUGGCGGCGUGCCUAACACAUGCAAGUCGAGCGGCAGCGAGGGGUGCUUGCACCCUGUCGGCGAGCGGCGGACGGCUGAGUAACGCGUGGGAACGUGCCCCAAAGUGAGGAAUAACUGCCCGAAAGGGUUGCUAAUACCGCAUAUUAUCUUCGGAUCAAAGGAUUUAUCCGCUUUGGGAGCGGCUCGCGUCGGAUUAGGUAGUUGGUGAGGUAAUGGCUCACCAAGCCGACGAUCCGUAGCUGGUCUGAGAGGAUGACCAGCCAGACUGGAACUGAGACACGGUCCAGACUCCUACGGGAGGCAGCAGUGAGGAAUCUUCCACAAUGGGCGAAAGCCUGAUGGAGCAACGCCGCGUGCAGGACGAAGGCCUUCGGGUUGUAAACUGCUUUUAUAAGUGAGGAAUAUGACGGUAACUUAUGAAUAAGGAUCGGCUAACUACGUG